rnacentral:rRNA from 1 species
AUACGGAGGAUCCGAGCGUUAUCCGGAUUUAUUGGGUUUAAAGGGAGCGUAGGUGGAUUGUUAAGUCAGUUGUGAAAGUUUGCGGCUCAACCGUAAAAUUGCAGUUGAAACUGGCAGUCUUGAGUACAGUAGAGGUGGGCGGAAUUCGUGGUGUAGCGGUGAAAUGCUUAGAUAUCACGAAGAACUCCGAUUGCGAAGGCAGAUCACUAGACUGUUACUGACACUGAUGCUCGAAAGUGUGGGUAUCAAACAGGAUUAGAUACCCUGGUAGUCCACACAGUAAACGAUGAAUACUCGCUGUUUGCGAUAUAGAGUAAGCGGCCAAGCGAAAGCAUUAAGUAUUCCACCUGGGGAGUACGCCGGCAACGGUGAAACUCAAAGGAAUUGACGGGG